CGUGAUUUCCUAGCGAGUCCCGACGUGCAUUUUCUACUCGCGUGGGUGGGCUUCUUUGGUUCACUACUGCUGAUGCAAAACGACGCCGUUUUGUUGUCCACAACUUCUUCACGUGAAAACGACGACAAAAGCAGAAGUGGACAAGAUGAAGGAGGCUUCGAGAGAAAUCCAUCUUUGUACAGUUAGGUUCAUGUAUCUGUCUCCCAGGUUUGUUCAACCUGUCUCCUUCCCUGUCUAUCUCUCUUCUCUGGUCCUCUUUUCUAGACUGAUUUUCGAUCUGUAGGUGAUGGUUUCAGAUUCAGUACGGGUGUUAGGCUUGGUUCAUAGGUUGAGUUCCAUCGGUGUAUGUGUGCCUCUUUUUUGUUGUUCCGAUUGCAUGAUUUCGCUUUAGAUUGUGUUUCUCCUUUGUUAAUUGAUUUUGUUUCUGUCUGUCUCUCUGGCCUUCGCCUCUCGACCGUCGACCGAUCUUCUAACAAGAAUGAAGAGACGUAAUUCUGAGUUCGGCUUCAUCUGAUUCAUACGAGACGGGUUUCACAAAUUUGAGUUCGAUCUGCCUAAGCUCGGUACGAUCAGGCUGGAUUUUGCUUUCAUUGCAGGGUUCGAUCCACUGCGGGUGUUAGGCGGAGUUCAUAGGUUGAUUUAAUCGGGGAAUUGUAGGCAUACCUAUAUCGAAGAAGAACCACGAGCAAGCUGAAUUGUUAGGAAAAUCCUUCUCUGAGUUCAGUUGUAUCAAGUUGUUAUGUUGAGGUUCAUGCGUUCUUUUCCCUGCUUUUUGUCCCUAACUUCUUUGAAUUUCUCCUUUUUU